rnacentral:snoRNA from 1 species
UCCAGCAGUAGUCAGCUGUCAGGACAGAACCAUUCCUGAGACAGUGUUACACUGCUGGGAGAGCAGUGUUCUGUCUUCUUCCUCCAGUGGCCUCCGUCACUGUUCUGGUGACGUCUGGCACUGGAUGAGGGCAGCGCUGUGCUUCCUUGAGAGUGUGCUAAGCAUUCACUUUGGCUGCUUAGUUCUAGUCUGGGAGCAGACACA